rnacentral:rRNA from 1 species
UACGUAGGGUGCAAGCGUUGUCCGGAAUUAUUGGGCGUAAAGAGCUCGUAGGCGGUGUGUCGCGUCGGCCGUGAAAACCUGCAGCUUAACUGUGGGCUUGCGGUCGAUACGGGCAUCACUGGAGUUCGGCAGGGGAGACUGGAAUUCCUGGUGUAGCGGUGAAAUGCGCAGAUAUCAGGAGGAACACCGGUGGCGAAGGCGGGGUCUCUGGGGCCGAUACUGACGUGAGGAGCGAAAAGCGUGGGGGAGCGAACAGG